rnacentral:lncRNA from 1 species
CCCGCGCGCCCGCUCCGCCGCGCCGCCCCGCCCCGCUGGGCCCGGCGUGGGCAGGGCGUCCAGAGCGGGUGUCUGCCGGAGGGGCGGCGGACCCUCGGUCCACAGGGAAAAGGAGGGGACUGUGAAGACUGGAGAAGGCACGAGGGUCCCCGCCCCCCAACCCUGAGCACCCUUUCUGGAUGCGGAGCCCCUGCUGCCGUAGUCCCAAUUCCUGCUUGGCCCACGGUGGGAGUGGGCGCUCCUCUUCCGCCGGUUGUUUCCCUUGUCUUCUCACUACCUCCCUCCACCCGGGCCCCCCUCAGGCCUUGCGCCCGAAUUUGGACCUAGAGACAGGAUCCGAGAGGAACAGGCUGUGUUUCAGCUGGCGGGCUGUGCAGACCCGCCAGCGCGUCGGAAAGCUCCAAGUCUGGGCCCUGGCUCCUGAGCACCCUUCAGGGUCUGGACGGGACUCAUGCCUGUUUGUGCAUCAGAACACUGUUAGGCCUGAGAAGCCAAGAAAGAAGUAGAGGCCCCAGGAAGGGAAAGGAGGAAACUCCCGGCAGAGGAGCUGUCAGGAAAGUCAGCGCAGCAGGCCUGGCUCCACGGGCUCCGCUUGGGUGAUUUCUGAGCUGGGGGACCCUUCUUUAAGGGAUCAUCAGGUGAAAAACACGUACAGCUUGGAAAGUGAGUAAAUGUUUCUGCAUGUUUCCUUUUGGCUUGGAGAUUUGAAGAAAAAUGGUUUUAUUUGCUCAGAUAUUUCAAGUUUUCCUGGUCUUGGUUUGGAGGAGCUCUCUGUCCAGAAUACGUUAGUUCUGGUUUAAGGGUACGCUGCAAAGGAGGGGGAGCAAAAUGGAGUGAAGCUUUAGCUCCAAGGUCAGAGUCAACCUGGGCAGGAGAGCAGAAGUGCUGCCGACCAACCCCUACUCGUCCCCCGGGAACCUCACACCUGAGCAGGGCAGUCUGCUGGUUAGCGCGAUGCGUUAGACUUCAGAUUUUAGAUUAGUCUAGAGAGGCAGGUUAGGUGCUAUAUCCAAGAGCAGGAGGCCAUCUGCAGUUUCUCACCUUUUAACUGUGUGACCAGCCAGUGGAAUAGCCACCUGUACCGGCCUGCCCGGCCCCACCUGGUGGGAGAGAAACAGGAGACCGAUUUACCUGGCCAAGUGUGCCAGGCUUGUCAUUCUGUUCAGAUGCCCACAGGGGGCUUGCGUAGCCGGUGAGGUUUCAUGUACAAACCCAUCUGGAAUCCACAGGGUGGGGAACUCCAUUCCUCGGCCAUGUGCUCACCCUCUGAAGGACCCCGUCUGCUUCCCUUACUCAAGGCACUUCCUCGCCCCGAGAGGGCUCACACAGGCCAGCCAAGGCUGCUCACUGUUGUCCUGAAAUGUCCAUCCACCCAUCACUGGGACCUGCCUUUGUCCUCAGAAGGCCCCAGCAUGAUGCGAAUCAUUUCUUAGGAUGGGCAUCCCAGGUGCUCUGUGAAACGGUGGGAGUGCAAGCGGGCAUGCCCAUGUGAAAACAAGAUCGUGUCGGGUGGGUCCUGAGGCCCAGGCACUGGAGGAGACACAUCUCCCUGUGUCCUGCCACUGAAUGUCCCAUGUCUGGACAGCCCUGAAGUGCGCUGUGACCUCCAACAGGGUAUGUACCUCCCGGCAGUAACCAGUCUUGAGUCGGACCCUGACGUGGGAGCUCUGUGUCGGCUAACUCAGAAUCAUCCUCACUCCGUCGGUGGUUCAGUUUUCACGCCCCUACAGGGAGUGGGGGGGAGUGGUGUGCAGGGUCAGGCACAGGUGGGAGCUGUGGCACAGCAUUCCGCCCAGGCCCUGCGCCCCCACCUGUGUAGCAUUCCCCGAACUUGUCUGACGGAGGAAGCCCUUUACGCAGCACACAGCGUCUUACAGGAACUCCCGUUUUCAGGAAGAUGGUUUCAGCAGCGCUGCAGUGACUGAUGCGAGCCCAGCAGAGAGCAUUGGUUUAUCAGACUUGCUGUGAAUGGAGCGGUGAGCAUACAUUGAGAGGAGGGGAAAAUGUGAUCUAAAACACAAGGCAGUAGAUUUCAAAGGAUAGUCUGCAGCCUUGUCACUCGGAGUGUGGUCCCCAGACCAGCAGCAUCGACACCCCUAAGGAGCUUGUUAAAAAUGCAGAGCCUCAGAGCACACCCCACGCCUACCUUACGUGCGGGCACCUGCAUCUUGACCGACUCCCCCUUCGCUCCACCUCUGUCCUCGGGGCAUCUGCCUCAGAAUCCUAGGGAGGCUCCUGAACUAUGCAGAGUCCUGGUUUCUGCCUGAGGCCUGCUGACGUGGAGCUUGGAGAAUGGGGCCUGGGACCUGGCCUUGUAACAAUGUCUUGGGGUGACGUUCACGCACACUAGCGUUUGAGAACCACUGGCCUGUCCCACAGGCAACAAGCAGCUCCCGGGAGCCUCCUAAAAAUGCUACUUCCUGGGCCGCCCCUGGAUCUACUGAGUCUGGGCGUCUAGGGGCCGAGCCUGGGAAUCAGCACGAGGAUGAUGGUGAAACGGACACAGCUGCCCUGAGGCGGGACUCCAGCCAGCUCUGCUCUGCCCAGCAUCCUGGGGCUAUGCCCACUGGGAGGAGGAGCUGUGAUCUCCGCCCCUGGAUCAAGAGCCCUAGAGAAAAGUGUGCUUUUGUUUCUAGGAGAGAUUAAGAAAAUGCAUUUGGGAGGGUAGCCUAUGAGUGGCUGUUUGCUCUCGACACCUGUAAACUGUUGACUGUAAUUGGACCACAGAUGUUCCCUGAGCCUGAUAGCUUUCUCUCCUCCGGCCGUGGAGGGGAGUCUGGGGAGGGGUUCUUCUCUAGUAGGAAAUUGAAUGAUUGUAUUGGGGCUGCAUUUCCUUGCCUUCCUCUGAUUUAAUCUGUUUUUCUCCAUUUAUCAUUAUUAUUUUCGACACUUCAGUGUUAGACAAAAAGCUGUUUUGUAAAGAAAGCAGGGGGAUGUUAGCAAAAGGUGUGUUCAUAGAAUCAAACAGAAUCUUUGUGGGCAAAUGAAGGUAUUCAAAGUCCUGCAGAAAUGGAUGAAAUCCUCCUGCCCUCCAGCUCAAGGAGACCUCCCAGCGUGGAACAGAGAAGAGCAAUCUCACAGGAGAAAGCAGGAGAGAGGCGCUGUGUGGAAGGUCUGCGAGUCAUCAUCUCCCAUAAUCCUCACACACAAAAGAGGUGAUGUCUGCACGUUCCACAGACAGAAAACGGACCUGGAGAUGUGGAACAGCCUGCCCGGGGCAUGAGCUGCAUCUCUCAAGUCCAUCCCCUCCCCUCCAGCUACCCAUCGGAGCCCCAUCAUCUCUCACCUGGAUCCCUGCGCAGCCUCACUCCUCUCCCUGCAAACCCGGCCCCACGGGGACCACUGAAACUUGCAUCAGAGAACAUCACGUGAUGCCCUGCUUCAAGCCCUCAGGCUGGACCCUCUCGGAACCUCGAUGCUCUCUCCAUGGCCCACAGGUCCUGUGCCAUCUGGCCCCUCCGCCCCCUCCCCCUCGCUCUGCCCUUGCUAUCUGGAGCAUUCUGCCCCAGGUCUAGGCAAGGCCGACUGCUGCUCAGAGAUGCCCUGCAGGGCCCCCAGCAAGGCUGCUCGCCCACCUCUCCUCAGCCAGGACCUUUCACACCUAUCACAUCCCUCUGGUUCUGUCUGUCUGAUGUCUGCAGUGCAGCAGGGGCCUCUCUGCCCGGCCCCCUGCCCUCUCCCCAGCUCCCGGAUGGUGCCGGCCCAGGCUCAGCAAACAUCUGAAUAAAUGAAUGUCUGAGUGGAUGACUGGGAAAGCUGGGAGAGAAGGUGCAGUCUCCUGGGACUUAACCUUGGGGGAGUGGGGAGGGGUCCGUGAUGCCACGCUGCCUGAACUCCUGCCCCACGCCUGGGAAGAAGGAAUACCGGUGGUUUUUCUUCUUUCUUCUGUGAACUCCGGGGCAGAAUGAGAGCCAGGGCCGGGGGGAGGGUGGUUCAGCUGAAUGUGGCAACAACAAGGGGUUAGGAAGACAUCAGGGGGGAGAGGAAGGAGGAUGAUAAAAUGCAUGUCGGGGAAGAGGAACCAAUUAAACAGUCAACUAAAUAAUAUUAGAUUUAGAGGAGGGAGAAAAUGGAGAUGUUGGAAAUAUGAGUAGACUGAGUGGCAAUAAAACAGGAGAGAGACCAAGAAAAUGGGGAAAAAGUAGAAAUGGACUUUCUGAGUUAAAGCAUCCGCCUGGGCCUGGAGACUGCGCAGCCGGGAUGCCCCUUUGGCUCAGCCGCUCAGGCAUCCCGGAGGAAUCGGGUUUCACCUGUAGGCUCACUGGUUGGAUGCUUUCAAAUUCCAUUUAACCCGGUUUGAUCAUCGAAUUUUGGGGGAUUGCUGCUGGUCACCUCCAGAGCACAAGCCCCUGCCGGCUGGACUCCUUGGGGGUGGGGCAGGGUUCCCCGCCCAGCCCCAGUCUGCUCAAGUGCAGCCAAGACAAGUGUCCUGUCCUCAAGAAGCAAGCCCUCUGUUCACCUUCACGAGCUGGGGCCCCACUUUGCUUUCUGGGUCUGUGGUUGAAGCUUCACAGAGAAGAAGCUGCAGAGGCAGACGGACGAAGCCGCCUGCUCAAGGACACAACCCCCCUGGGAGCCGCUUCUUUGGGAGAAGGCAGGGCCCUCACACUUCAGUUGAGCAACAGGGUCACCUGACAAGCAUUUUAAAAACAUGAGUGCUUGGACCUCAGACCAGCCCCAUAGGGUCACGUCCAGCAACUCUGUUCUUGACGUUCCCCAGAUGAACUUAAAUGCACACCGGUGGUUGGGCAUUAAACCCCUUCUGAGUGUUUCUAUCUCAAUGCCUUAGUGUGACUUAAUUUUUGAUAUUUUUCUAGUAAAGGGGCUUCCAUGGGUUGGGAAAGUGAACACUUGAUUGAUGGAAGGAAAGGUGGCAGGGGCUCCAGAGGUGACUGAUUUCACCUGUCUGGGUGGGGUACGACAGAGGGAUUCUGGGGAUGGCUGCAGGGGCCUCAAGGCCGCUGGGCAAUAUGUGUGAAACGGGGAAGAGCUCUGAUGGAAGGAAGUGAGGGACGUGCAGAUGUGGUCACCCACCUACUCCGCAGGCGACCAGCUCUCAGCCCAAAUUCCUAGAGCCGAUCCCUCAGAGCAAGAUUCCUCCCACAGGAAAUGGACCAGAACUGGAUCUCAGGCUGCACACAGCAGAGGACUCCGAUGAUGCACAGGUGCUACACGAUGUCCAGGGGUGCCGCUGGGGACAAGAGACUGGCCCCUGUCUCCGUGGACCACACCAUCCAGAGGGGAGUUAGAAUACAGACCCUGGGCGAGGAAGUGGGAAGCUCAGCGAGGCGUGCGUGGCAACAACGCCUUAUACUUUCACACCUGGUGUUUCAAGUGCUCCUCACAACCUCCCUGUUAGAAAAGUGGGACUUGCAGUGUCAGCCUCAAUUUACAGGAGCCAAUUUACUGCACUUGAAAUUCAGUGUUCAGAGGAAUAUUGUGAAAGUGCCGGAGAGAUAACGCAGCUAGGAGAGGGUUGGUGUCGCUGGUGGGCCGCUCCGACUCUCACAGUCAGGAAGCUUCUGGUGCAGAUUGAACCAAGGAAAGAAGAGCCCCCUUCCCUACGGACCCUGUUCCAGGACUGGAGACUGAGCGCUUUCGAUGCCUGGUCUGUCUACUCUCACGCCCGUUGUCUGAGGUGGGGUCCGUUGUC